rnacentral:rRNA from 1 species
UACGGAGGAUCCGAGCGUUAUCCGGAUUUAUUGGGCGUAAGGAGCGCGCAGGUGGUUGAUUAAGUCUGAUGUGAAAGCCCACGGCUUAACCGUGGAGGGUCAUUGGAAACUGGUCGACUUGAGUGCAGAAGAGGGAAGUGGAAUUCCAUGUGUAGCGGUGAAAUGCGUAGAGAUAUGGAGGAACACCAGUGGCGAAGGCGGCUUCCUGGUCUGUAACUGACACUGAGGCGCGAAAGCGUGGGGAGCAAACAGGAUUAGAUA